GAAAAACAGUAGUCCAUAUCCGUGUAGCAUGACUAGGAAAAUAUGACUUAGCUUCACGUGGUAAAGAGUUCAGACCUCCUUGCUUCUAUGGUACAAUCCUCUUCCCGCUGAGCCUAUCCUCUUCCCGCUGAGCCUCCUUUCUUCCGUGAUUAACUGUUGGCACCAGUCCUACAUUUUGUCUCUGGUGACACCCAAUUUCUUCUUCUUACCACAGGCUGCCGG
rnacentral:lncRNA from 1 species